AUGAUCAAAUAAGAAUUUAAAGUGCCUGGCUGGAUUGGGGGUCACCAAACUCAUUAGGAAGGGCCAUUUCAGUCUGAUGGUCAUGGUGGACACCAGACUCCAGUGCGCUGAAGACAGAAUGGGAAGUGAAGUAGUCAAAAUGGCAGGUAUAAGCAUUCCAAUGAGUUUGACAGUGAAAGAUAAAAGGAAGGGCACAGUGGAAUUGAGAGAGGUUUUCCUAAAAGUUGAGAAAGGCUCAAUCACAUUUAAAUACUGAAGGGAAGAAGUUCACUGAAAUUUCAAGAAGAGGAAUCGUGCAGUAGAACAUGGUUCCUGAAAAGGCAAAAGCGUAUGUGAUCUUGAAGAAAGGUGGAGGGAUUAGGCUUAGAUGAUAGAAGGAAGAGAAUAGAUUCAUCUUUCAUAGCAGCAAGUGGGAAGGGGGAAAGGGUGGCUCCUUGGGCACUGAGUCAGUCACAGGAAGAGGAAAAAGUUCCCAUCUGAUGCCUUCCAUUUUAAUAAAUAAAAGAAGUUGCUACAUCACCCAUGCCUCUGACUCUUAUAAAUUAGAUAGUAUUUCUUCUUUUAUCCAUUUUUCAUUUGCAAGAAUAGAGGGACAAGAAUGGUCAAUAGUUAAUUAUUUAAGAUGGUCAACGGUUACAUAAUAUUAUUGGUGUAUUCUUUUGAUAAUCCAUGGUUCUUUUUUUCAAUCCAUGAACCCACCAUCUCACACACACACACGCACACACACACCCCAAUUUGAACACAAAACAAGGUCUAAGCUGUCCUGUGACUCAUCAGUAUGUUCUCAAAUUGAUAACAUUUAUACUUAAGUUACAAAUCGGUACAGGAUACACUCAAAUAAUACGUGAUCUUCGAGUUGAAGUGUUGAAGUAAAUGUCUCCUGCAAAGAUGUAGGGCUCUCUCAUCAGGACACAGGGUACUGGAAAAUCACCUGCUAAGAAUGUGGCCAUUAUGUAGGUUUUGUGUGCAAAACAAAGGUAGAUGAGACUGUACCUUGGCGGAGCUGUCUGACGUGCCUCUGUCGCUGCCCAAGUGUUUCCCAUGCCCUUGGCGGACUCGGGAAGGGGAGGAGCCUGCCAGACCAGUUGCAAAGUGCAGAACAUGCCUCAGGGCCUCCAUUCACAAUCCAAUUUGCCUCAGUGACUGUGCCCAGCCUUCACACCACAAAGCUGACCUUUCAACACAGGUAUAGGAAUGUGCCUACCUCAAAAGUAAUCUGUAAAAAGUAAUCAAACUGGACUUCCCUGGUGGCACAGUGGUUAAGAAUCUACCUGCCAAUGCAGGGGACAACGGUUCGAGCCCUGGUGCAGGAAGAUACCUCAUGCCACGGAGGAACUAAGCCCGUGCGCCACAACUACUGAGCCUGCGCUCUAGAGCCCACAAGACACAACUAGUGAAGCCUGCGUGCCUAGAGCCUGUGCUCCACAACAAGAGAAGCCACCUCAAUGAGAAGCCCGCACACCACAAUGAAGAGUAGCCCCCACUCACCGCAACUAGAGAAAGCCCACGCACAGCAACGAAGACUCAAUGCAGCCAAAAAUAAAUAAAUAAAUUUAUUUUUUAAAAA